rnacentral:rRNA from 1 species
AUUGAACGCUGGCGGCAGGCCUAACACAUGCAAGUCGAGCGAGCGGCGGACGGGUGAGUAAUGUCUGGGAAACUGCCUGUUGGAGGGGGAUAACUACUGGAAACGGUAGCUAAUACCGCAUACCAUCAGAUGUGCCCAGAUGGGAUUAGCUAGUAGGUGGGGUAACGGCUCACCUAGGCGACGAUCCCUAGCUGGUCUGAGAGGAUGACCAGCCAAAAUGGGAGUGAGAAACGGUCCCGACGUCUACGGGAGGGAGCAGGGGGGAAUAUUGGAAAAUGGGCGCAAGCCUGAUGCAGCCAUGCCGCGUGUGUGAAGAAGGCCUUCGGGUUGUAAAGCACUUUCAGCGGGGAGGCGUUACCCGCAGAAGAAGCACCGGCUAACUCCGUGCCAGCAGCCGCGGUAAUAC